rnacentral:rRNA from 1 species
UACAUGGGGUGCAAACGUUGCUCGGAAUUAUUGGGCGUAAAGCGCACGUAGGCGGUUCGUUAAGUCGGAUGUGAAAGCCCUCGGCUCAACUGAGGAAGUGCACCCGAAACUGGCGAGCUUGAGUACGAAAGAGGAUCGCGGAAUUCCCGGUGUAGAGGUGAAAUUCGUAGAUAUCGGGAGGAACACCGGUGGCGAAGGCGGCGACCUGGUCCUUGACUGACGCUGAGCGCGAAAGCGUGGGGAGCAAAACAG